rnacentral:rRNA from 1 species
AUGCUUUCUUUUUUUGAGAAGGUUGGAUCAAGCUCCUGCCCUGGCUCCCAACCUGAACCUACUGCUACCGGUGUUGAUGAUUCCAACACAGCCAAACAAGGACAAAGUAGUGGACAGAGUAACACUCUAGAUCAGAAUAUUUCAGCAUCUGUAGAAGGUCCACAGCAAGAGACAGUUGUAACAACAGAAACAGAUUAUAUUAGAGAUCCCAGCAAACGUCUUCAAAUUUGGCAACUCCCUCCUGCCAAGCAAGACGAAGCUCGGUGUUUUUAUAUAUCUGAGGGCGCAUAUCAACCGAUCCUACAACCAGAGGAAUACUCAUUUGCUAGAACGGGUACUCAUCGCCGUCGAUUCCAAAAAGAUUGGUUUACCAACCAUUUUUGGUUGGAGUAUUCAACUGACACACAUAGGGCAUACUGCUUGCCUUGUUUCCUCUUUGCCAAAAAGCCAAUUGGAAGGUGUGGCUCAGAUACAUUCACAGUCAAGGGAUUUCAAAACUGGAAAAAGGUAAAUAAUGGGAAAGAAUGUGCUUUUCUAACUCACAUGGGUCGUGAUCCUAACUCAGCUCAUAACUUUGCUGUUAGAUGUUUUGAAAAUCUUAAGAAUAGCAUGUCUCAUAUAGACAAGGUAAUGGUGAAGCAAUGUGAGAAAAAGAGUGGCGAUGCGAGACUAAGACUCAAGACUACAAUUGAUGCAAUCAGGUAA